ACCCCCUGGCAAUGGGCAAAGAGACACCUUGGUGGUGGUGUUGAUCUUAUAUCAGUCAGGGGCAGAGCAGACGGCAGUCCUUUGUUCAUCCUAGCUUGAUGCCUGUCCUGGUGGCCAGAGCUGCUUCAUGCCUAGGGCACAUAA